GAACGCUGGCGGCGUGCCUAAUACAUGCAAGUCGAGCGCAGAAAACUGACGGAACUCUUCGGAGGGAAGGCAGCGGAAUGAGCGGCGGACGGGUGAGUAACACGUAAGGUACCUGCCUCAAGGAUUGGGAGAACUCCGAGAAAUCGGAGCUAAUACCGGAUAGUUCAUCGGACCGCAUGGUCCGUUGAUGAAAGGCGCUGCGGCGUCACCUUGAGAUGGCCCUGCGGUGCCUUAGCUAGUUGGUAAAGUAACGGCCCUCCAAGGCGACGAAGCAUAGCCGACCUGAGAGAGUGAUCGGCUCACU
rnacentral:rRNA from 1 species